rnacentral:rRNA from 4 species
UAUCACUAAGCGGAGGAAAAGAAACUAACCAGGAUUCCCCUAGUAACGGCGAGUGAAGAGGGAAGAGCCCAGCACCGAAGCCUGUGGCAGUUUUGCUGCUAGGCAAUGUGGUGUUUGGGUCGGCUGGCGGGACUGCCACUCCACUCGAAGUCCAGCAUUGAGUAUGGUGACCUGGAUUUGGCCCAGAGAGGGUGAAAGGCCCGUACGGGUGGAGGUUCAGACAUGUGAGGCAGUUCACUAGGCCGACCUUCGAGUCGGGUUGUUUGAGAAUGCAGCCCAAAGUGGGUGGUAAACUCCAUCCAAGGCUAAAUACUAGCACGAGUCCGAUAGCAAACAAGUACCGUGAGGGAAAGUUGAAAAGUACUUUGAAGAGAGAGUAAACAGUACGUGAAGCCGCAUGCAGGUAAACGGGUGGCGUCAAGCUGCAAGCCGGGAGAAUUCAGUCGAUUAGGGUGUCAAUGCGCCUGGCGCAUGGAACAGUCGGAGUGAGAUUGGAUGGUCCGCUGGAAUACAGUGGGUCUCGCCGCAAGGUGGGAUGUGUGUACCGGGUGUUAGCCGGAGCACGCCGUCUGUCUGCUGGACUGCCUAGUCGGUGCACUUUCUCUCAUUAUGGCUAACACCACGACCGGUGGUACUGCCAGUCUGCUAUGGCCAAGUCGUAGUUGGUGGGUACUUGUUGCCUACUGGCUGCGGCGUCCACAGGCAAAUUCGGUAGACGGCGUCGGUAUUCGCCUUGUGCGGUGUCGGCGUGUUAUCGGCUAUCGGUUGUCUUAACGGGCUGCCUGGCGACGUUGAAGCCGUCGUGUUGGGUGGUCUGGUGGGCCUUAGUGGUAUGAAUAACUGUGCUGGGCACCGGAGUUUUCGGCCUCAAAUGCAGUCGGCAUGCACGCUUCAAGUGUGUGAUGUGGGUUGCGCUGCGGUCUGCCUGUUGUUGAGCGUGACUGUCGUGUUGCCUGCGCAAAGUGGGCCCGGCGGUGGCUUGAUGCGGGUUGGUGCCGUAGACGUGGCUCGCAGUGUCGGCUGUGGUGGGCCUGAUAGUCAGUGGUGUAGUGGUAGACGAGCUACCCGACCCGUCUUGAAACACGGACCAAGGAGUUUAACAUGUGUGCAAGUCAAUGGGUCCUACGAAACCCAAAGGCGCAGUGAAAGUGAAGCUUCGACUUGUUUCGAGGUGAGGUGAGAUCCUGCUGUUACUCGCAUCAUGCCGACACCAGGCAUCAAGAGCAGUGGGCGCAUCACCGGCCCGUCCCAUGAUGUGGCCAUUGGAAUAGGGCUGCAGUGAAAGCUGUAGUACCUCCAGUGCGUCAUCGGGGCGGAGCAUGAGCACACACGUUGAGACCCGAAAGAUGGUGAACUAUGCUUGCGUAGGUUGAAGCCAGAGGAAACUCUGGUGGAGGACCGCAGCGAUUCUGACGUGCAAAUCGAUCGUCAAACGUGAGUAUAGGGGCGAAAGACUAAUCGAACCAUCUAGUAGCUGGUUCCCUC